rnacentral:rRNA from 1 species
AUUUGCGAGCAAAGCCAUUCCAUUACCCACCGGAAUGGUUGAUCGUAGCGAAAGAGGAAGGGACGGCUAACUCUGUGCCAGCAGCCGCGGUAAUACAGAGGUCCCAAGCGUUGUUCGGAUUUACUGGGCGUAAAGGGUGCGUAGGUGGCGAGGUAAGUUCGGUGUGAAAUCUCCGGGCUCAACCCGGAAACGGCAUUGAAUACUCUCUUGCUAGAGGUUUGGAGGGGGGACUGGAAUUCUCGGUGUAGCAGUGAAAUGCGUAGAUAUCGAGAGGAACACCCGUGGCGAAGGCGAGUCCCUGGACAACACCUGACACUGAGGCACGAAAGCUAGGGGAGCAAACAGGAUUAGAUACCCUGGUAGUCCUAGCCCUAAACGGUGCACAUUUGCUGUGGGCGGAUUCGACCCCGCCCGUGGCGAAGCUAACGCGAUAAAUGUGCCGCCUGGGAAGUACGGUCGCAAGAUUAAAACUCAAAGAAAUUGACGGGGGCCUGCACAAGCGGUGGAGUAUGUGGCUCAAUUCGAUGCAACGCGAAGAACCUUACCUGGCCUUGACAUGUGGGUGGUAGAAGGAUGAAAGUCUGACGAACCCGCAAGGGUAGCCUACACAGGUGCUGCAUGGCUGUCGUCAGCUCGUGUCGUGAGAUGUUGGGGUUAAAGUCCCGCAACGAGCGCAACCCCUGUGUCCUGUUGCUACCGGGGAUGAAAGUCUCGGGCACUCCCGGACAGACUGCCUCGCUUCAACGGGGAGGAAGGUGGGGGAUGACGUCAAGUCAGUAUGGCCCUUACGGCCAGGGCUGCACACGUACUACAAUGCCCGGGUACAAAGGGAGGCAAGAUCGUAGAUG